GACGAACGUUGGCGGCGUGCUUAACACAUGCAAGUCGAACGGAAAGGCCCUGCUUUUGUGGGGUGCUCGAGUGGCGAACGGGUGAGUAACACGUGAGUAACCUGCCCUUGACUUUGGGAUAACUUCAGGAAACUGGGGCUAAUACCGGAUAGGAGCUCCUGCUGCAUGGUGGGGGUUGGAAAGUUUCGGCGGUUGGGGAUGGACUCGCGGCUUAUCAGCUUGUUGGUGGGGUAGUGGCUUACCAAGGCUUUGACGGGUAGCCGGCCUGAGAGGGUGACCGGCCACAUUGGGACUGAGAUACGGCCCAGACUCCUACGGGAGGCAGCAGUGGGGAAUAUUGCACAAUGGGCGGAAGCCUGAUGCAGCAACGCCGCGUGCGGGAUGACGGCCUUCGGGUUGUAAACCGCUUUCGCCUGUGACGAAGCGUGAGUGACGGUAAUGGGUAAAGAAGCACCGGCUAACUACGUGCCAGCAGCCGCGGUGAUACGUAGGGUGCGAGCGUUGUCCGGAUUUAUUGGGCGUAAAGGGCUCGUAGGUGGUUGAUCGCGUCGGAAGUGUAAUCUUGGGGCUUAACCCUGAGCGUGCUUUCGAUACGGGUUGACUUGAGGAAGGUAGGGGAGAAUGGAAUUCCUGGUGGAGCGGUGGAAUGCGCAGAUAUCAGGAGGAACACCAGUGGCGAAGGCGGUUCUCUGGGCCUUUCCUGACGCUGAGGAGCGAAAGCGUGGGAGCGAACAGGCUUAGAUACCCUGGUAGUCCACGCUGUAAACGGUGGGUACUAGGUGUGGGGUCCAUUCCACGGGUUCCGUGCCGUAGCUAACGCUUUAAGUACCCCGCCUGGGGAGUACGGCCGCAAGGCUAAAACUCAAAGGAAUUGACGGGGCCCCGCACAAGCGGCGGAGCAUGCGGAUUAAUUCGAUGCAACGCGUAGAACCUUACCUGGGUUUGACAUGGAUCGGGAGUGCUCAGAGAUGGGUGUGCCUCUUUUGGGGUCGGUUCACAGGUGGUGCAUGCCUGUCGUCAGCUCGUGUCGUGAGAUGUUGGGUUAAGUCCCGCAACGAGCGCAACCCUUGUUCACUGUUGCCAGCACGUUAUGGUGGGGACUCAGUGGAGACCGCCGGGGUCAACUCGGAGGAAGGUGGGGAUGACGUCAAGUCCUCAUGCCCCUUAUGUCCAGGGCUUCACGCAUGCUACAAUGGCUGGUACAGAGAGUGGCGAGCCUGUGAGGGUGAGCGAAUCUCGGAAAGCCGGUCUCAGUUCGGAUUGGGGUCUGCAACUCGACCUCAUGAAGUCGGAGUCGCUAGUAAUCGCAAAGCAGCAACGCUGCGGUGAAUACGUUCCCGGG
rnacentral:rRNA from 1 species